GGUGGAGAAUGUAACGUAUCGAAACCUCGAUAGCGAUUAUCGAACUUUAAUCAAAUUGGUUAAAGUGUCGAGAGCUAUGGUUAGGCGAGUCCUAUUUAGCAUUCCAACAAUAUUGGAAGGGCUAAAAAUGGGUUCCAAAAGAGUUAGAAUGGUUUUGGUGUCGAGCGGCGCGAGUUAGAGUCGAAUCGAGCCAAAAAUCGAAGUCUGGAGCAAGUGUACCGGUAUAGGGGCGUAUCUGUACCGGUACAGAUACGCA
rnacentral:lncRNA from 1 species